UUCAAAAUGGCACAGGUUGAAAACCACCUAGGGGCAGGCUCAGUUGGCAGGCCAUGUGACUCUUGAUCUAGGGGUCAUGAAUUCAAGCCCCACGUUGAGCAUAGUGAUUACUUAAUUAAAAGAAGGAGGAGGAGAGGAAGAGGAAGAAGAAGACCACGUAAAUGCUCAUCUGCGGGGAGUCAGAUGAAUGAAUCAUUCCAUAUCGGUUACUCUUCAUUUUCUGUAUAUUCUUCCAAAAAGUUUUCCUCACCCAUAUUAAUGGAUACACACACACACACACAAACUAGAUCUGGACUCAACAAAUAACUCCUGAAGGCCUAUGCAAUGAGGAACGCAAGGAUCAAGAUCAGGAAACUGAAACAAGGGGUCCAGUACUCGGCCCAGAAACUUACCCAGUGGCUGCAGGAAACCAAGUCAGGCCUAGCACACAAGUGACAGAGGACUCCAGAACUAGUACCCUCUCCAUGAAACAAAGGUGGCAAGUGACAACAGAAGUUUGCAAUCUAGGAGAUGUUAUAACCAACUUGUGCCCCAAACUCCAUCUCAACAAUGCAGCCAUCAUGCUACGAGGUUGAACACAAAGCCAACAUCAAGAAUGACAAAUCAAAGGAAUGCAAAGGCCCAUGAAGAGCAGUACCAACCAACCAACCACAAAGGCCACUCCAGGUUUAUGGGCUAAUAAAUUUCCCACUGGUUACUCGUUUGUUGUGUACAUGUGUGUGUGGACACACUUUAGGCCCUUCUAGCUCAGAAAGUUUUCUGGCUUUCUAUAAUGCUUAUUUUGCUCCUAAGAGUUUCUAUCGAUUUCAUAUAUAUAGACAUACUCAGGUCUUUGCAAAUCAGCAUCACUUUUAGAAAAGAUAUAGGUCGUUUUAAUUUUAAAUAUUCACUUAGUAUCUUUAAAUCUAGCAUUUAUAGAAUUUUACAAAUAAUGAAUAGUUAUGAUCACAGAUAGCCUUUUGUCAACUAAAGGACAAUUAUCCUUUCGUAACUUCUCUC